rnacentral:rRNA from 1 species
UACGUAGGGGGCGAGCGUUAUCCGGAUUUACUGGGUGUAAAGGGAGCGUAGACGGUUCUGCAAGUCUGAAGUGAAAGCCCGUGGCUUAACCGCGGAACGGCUUUGGAAACUGUGGAACUGGAGUGCUGGAGAGGCAAGCGGAAUUCCUAGUGUAGCGGUGAAAUGCGUAGAUAUUAGGAGGAACACCAGUGGCGAAGGCGGCUCACUGGACUGUAACUGACGUUGAGGCUCGAAAGCGUGGGGAGCAAACAGG